rnacentral:rRNA from 1 species
AGGACGAACGCUGGCGGCGUGCUUAACACAUGCAAGUCGAGCGGAAAGGCCCUUCGGGGUACUCGAGCGGCGAACGGGUGAGUAACACGUGAGCAACCUGCCCUUAGCUCUGGGAUAGCUCCGGGAAACCGGAAUUAAUACCGGAUAUGACCACGGCCGACAUCGGCCACGGUGGAAAGAUUCAUCGGCUAGGGAUGGGCUCGCGGCCUAUCAGCUUGUUGGUGGGGUAACAGCCUACCAAGGCGACGACGGGU